UAGAAUUCCAGGUGUAGCGGUGAAAUGCGUAGAGAUCUGGAGGAAUACCGGUGGCGAAGGCGGCCCCCUGGACAAAGACUGACGCUCAGGUGCGAAAGCGUGGGGAGCAAACAGGAUUAGAUACCCUGGUAGUCCACGCCGUAAACGAUGUCUACUUGGAGGUUGUGCCCUUGAGGCGUGGCUUCCGGAGCUAACGCGUUAAGUAGACCGCCUGGGGAGUACGGCCGCAAGGUUAAAACUCAAAUGAAUUGACGGGGGCCCGCACAAGCGGUGGAGCAUGUGGUUUAAUUCGAUGCAACGCGAAGAACC
rnacentral:rRNA from 4 species